GUCUACGGCCAUACCACCCUGAACGCGCCCAAUCUCUUCUGAUCUCUGAAGUUAAGCACGGUCGGCCUGGUUAGUACUUGCAUGGGAAUUAGUACACUUUUAAAAGGUGGCUGUACCUC
rnacentral:rRNA from 1 species